ACAAAGGUCGUGUUCCCAUGCAGCAAUUAGCUGAGAAAGAAUUAAACAACAGUAGAGUGUAGUUGGUAUGAGAUGUUGCAAUGUCAGAAAGACCUUAGUGAUAACUGUGAACUGAGAACAGGACACUGUGAUCAGAAGAAUGUGGAUUCAGCACAGAUGAACGACCACAAGAAUGUGGAACUAGGGAGUUUGGAGUUGCCAAUAAAUGAGACUUGCUGAUCAUU